UCCGCAAGCUAUUCAAGAGCAAGCCAUUCAAGAGCAAAAUCGUCGGCCAUUUUAUCAACCAAAAAAGUAACCCUCAUAUUAUAUAAUCUCAUUCGUAAGACAUUUAAGAGCAAAAUUGCCGACCACAUUCUCAACCAAAAAACUAGAUAAUUUCUUCAUUUUAGAAAAAGGAACUAUGCAAACUAGAGGUCGCAAUCGACUGGUAAUUAAACAAAAUGAUGAUGAAGAUGUGCGACCUUAUAUUGAGUAAUUGAUGGAUGGUCAAAACUACUUUAGAGCCCAACCAUAUAUUGAGCAAUUGAUGGAUGAUCAGAACUACUCUGAAGUCCAAGCACAUAAUGAUCAAUCUAAUGAGCCGAAUAGUUCUGCUGGUGGCAUUGAGAUUCAACAUAAUGACGAUUAGGUAAUACUUUUUUAGUAUUGCGAUCUGUUGCUUUUAUAGUAUAGAUUAAAGUACAACCCAAAAAAAGAGUUUACUUAAUAUCAAUUGCAUAUUUUCAGAAAUUAAAUUUCUCCUGAUAUCUUUUUAUCAAGUGAAAUUGCUUUAGUACAGUUCUCUUUAACUAGUUGAAAGUCGCAUGUGAAAUUACUCAGUAAAAAAAUUAGACCAUCAAUCACCGAAGAAGUAGUUCUACAUGAUCUUUUACCAUACCAUCCCAAUUAUAAGUAAGCAGCUAGCUAAUGCAAUAGUAUGUAGCCUUAUCAUUCAAUUUUAUUUAUAAGAUCCCUGACACCAACAACGGACAUGAUUGAGUACCACAAACAUCAAGGAUACCUAGUGUUGUUGAAAAUACCCAACCUUCUCAUGGUACUACCCAUCUUUAUCCUUCGGUGCUACUGUUUGAGUUUUCUUUUUUUAUUAAUUUGUUCUAGUAUUUCGGCUUACCUUAGAUGCUUCUUGCUUUUAUAUAUUUUCUUUUUUCACUGUUGUUGAUGUCGUAAGGUUGUGAUAGUAAUGAAUCAUUUUAAAAAUAAUAUUUUUCCAGAUUGUGAUUAUGUGUAAUAUUAUUAUAUCCUUCUUAUGUACACAUAGUGAAAAAAUAUUUAUUUAUUCUGUUAAAUUGACAUCAUUUUAUGUCUUUAAAUCAAUUCAUAUUUGUCUUCUUGAAUUCUUCGGAUGGUUGACAAACCUAUAGCCUUAAACCUGAAAGUUAAUCACAACUUCAGCCAUUUACAACAAGCAGCACCCAUAACUCUAGCACUAGAGAUGGGAACGACUGCACAAGAGCCACCUACAGUUGCAAUGACUGAUAUGUUGGCGUAGAGUUGUAAAUUUAAUAAGUGAUAAUUCCUAACGAGUUUUCCUUUCUGUUGUUAGUGAUGGGAUGAAUGGCUUUAAGAAGCAAGCCGAUGUCAUCUCUUCAAGUGAUUUAAGAGGAUCUUUGUUUUUUCCUCUUGCCAUGUCUUGUGUUGCAUUACAGUAACAUAGGUUCGGUUUGUUACUUUCUAUGACAGCUUGGCCAUUGCUUCUAUCCAAGCUAAGGUUUGUAAAUUGCUUGGUAAUCUUCUGUCUUUGGAAUUAUAAAUAGAUGGUAUCUAACUUCUGAUUUUUAUAUUAACAUUGCAUACUCUAUUUUGAAUCUUGUGCCACUAUUCCUUGGCGAUUUUAGUUAUUCAAAUAAAUAUAAAGAUAAUUGUGACUUUUCUUUUAGUUCCAUAGAUGUUAAGAAAGUUAAAUAGAAUGUUUAAAUAUUGAUUAUCUGAUUUAUGUUUCUUUCUAGAUGCAUAGUGAGUUAUGAAAUGUGUGAGUUGAUUUAAUAAAACCUUUCUGUGUGUUGAGUCUUUGUUGGGUAAGUUUGAACCUCCAACAAUUGCACAAAACAUUUGCAUUUCUUGAGACUAGAUGCUGGUAAAUAUCCUUUUCCGAUAAGUUAAUGUAAAUUUCACUAAAAAUGUACCAAGAAGAUAUAGAAAACAUAUAAAAGUUCUUUUUAAUUCUCCAAGUUAAUACUCUGCUUUUGAUAUUUUUUGUUUCUUCUCUGUCAUACAAAGAAAGAAACUUUCUUCAUUAUUUGCACAUCCAUUUUGCUCGCCUACUAAUCCAUCUAGUUGUUUUUGCUUAUAAAUGUUAGGUGAGUGAGUUGGGUGAAAAACAAUCUGACAGUGAUGGAGUCUUCAAGAUAUUUUUUCACAUUAUAUUUUAUCUUUUGAUAUAGUUAAUUUAUAAUUUCAGGUCAUACAGUCUGAUGUUCGAUAUUUUUGUGGGUGGAAGAUUUCAAUAUAAUGAAAAGUUGUGGAAAUUAUUUGAAGAC